rnacentral:rRNA from 1 species
AAUGAACGCUGGCGGCAGGCCUAAAACAUGCAAGUCGAACGCCCUAGCAAUAGGGAGUGGCGCACGGGUGAGUAACAUGUGGGAAUAUGCCUUUUGGUACGGAACAACGUUUGGAAACGAACGCUAAUACCGUAUGGUCCCUCCGGGGUAAAGAUUUAUCGCCAAAAGAUUAGCCCGCACUAGAUCAGCUAGUUGGUAAGGUAAUGGCUUACCAAGGCGACGAUCUAUAGCUGUCCUGAGAGCAAGAUCAGCCACACUGGGACUGAGACACGGCCCAGACUCCUACGAGAGGCAGCAGAUAGGAAUAUUUGACCCUGGGCGCAUGCCUAAUCCAGCGAUGCCGCGUGAGUGAUGAAGGCCUUCGGGUUGUAAAGCUCUUGAGCCGACGAAUAUAAGGACUGUAGUCGGGGAAUAAGCCCCGGCUCACUCCGUGCCAGCCGCCGCCGUAACAC